rnacentral:tRNA from 1 species
GUUGGUGUAGCUCAGUGGUAGAGUGCAUGCUUUGUGUGUAUGAUGUCCUGGGUUCAAUCUCCAGCUUCUCCC